UGACGGCGAGUGGCGGACGGGUGAGUAACACGUAGGAAUCUACCUUAAUUAUAAUAGUUAGUGGGGGAUAACCCGGGGAAACUCGGGCUAAUACCGCAUAAUCUCUUCAAAGCAAAGCGGGGGAUCUUCGGACCUCGUGCUAUGAGAUGAGCCUGCGUCGGAUUAGCUAGUUGGUAGGGUAAUGGCCUACCAAGGCGACGAUCCGUAGCUGGUCUGAGAGGACGAUCAGCCACACUGGGACUGAGACACGGCCCAGACUCCUACGGGAGGCAGCAGUGGGGAAUAUUGGACAAUGGGGGAAACCCUGAUCCAGCAAUGCCGCGUGUGUGAAGAAGGCCUUCGGGUUGUAAAGCACUUUCAGUGGGGAAGAAAUUCUCAAGGCUAAUACCCUUUUGAGCGUUGACGUUACCCACAGAAGAAGCACUGGCUAACUCUGUGCCAGCAGCCGCGGUAAUACAGAGAGUGCAAGCGUUAAUCGGAAUCACUGGGCGUAAAGCGCGCGUAGGUGGAUAUUUAAGUCGGAUGUGAAAGCCCUAGGCUUAACCUGGGAAUUACAUCCGAUACUAGGUAUCUCGAGUAUGAUAGAGGGAAGUGGAAUUUCCGGUGUAGCGGUGAAAUGCGUAGAUAUCGGAAAGAACAUCAGUGGCGAAGGCGGCUUCCUGGAGCAAUACUGACACUGAGGCGCGAAAGCGUGGGGAGCAAACAGGAUUAGAGACCCUGGUAGUCCACGCCGUCAACGAUGAGAACUAGCUGUUGGAAAGUUUACUUUCUAGUAGCAAAGCUAACGCGUUAAGUUCUCCGCCUGGGGAGUACGGCCGCAAGGUUAAAACUCAAAGAAAUUGACGGGGGCCCGCACAAGCGGUGGAGCAUGUGGUUUAAUUCGAUGCAACACGAAAAACCUUACCUACCCUUGACAUCCUCGGAACUUGUCAGAAAUGACUUGGUGCCUUUGGGAACCGAGUGACAGGUGCUGCAUGGCUGUCGUCAGCUCGUGUCGUGAGAUGUUGGGUUAAGUCCCGUAACGAGCGCAACCCUCGUCCUUAGUUGCCAGCGGUUCGGCCGGGAACUCUAAGGAGACUGCCGGUGAUAAACCGGAGGAAGGUGAGGAUGAUGUCAAGUCAUCAUGGCCCUUACGGGUAG
rnacentral:rRNA from 1 species